rnacentral:rRNA from 1 species
UCAAAAACAUCUCUCUUGGGUUAAUAUAUUAAGAGUAGUCCCUGCCUUGUGAUUUAGUUUUAACGGCGGCGUUAAGUUUUAAAGUAGCGUGAUAAUUUGUCCUUUAAUUGAGGUCUUGGUAUGAAUGGGUUGACGUGAGAAAGCUGUCUCAAUUGAUUUGUUCGAAAUUUUCUUCUUUAGUGAAAAGCCUGAGAUUGUAUUAAAAGACGAGAAGACCCCGUCGAGCUUAUUUAACCUUGGAAAUAUUUAACUUUUGGUGAAGUUUUAUUGGGGCAAUAGUGGAGAAGAUAAACCUCCUUUUAUAUAUUACAAAGAUCCUCCCAUAGGGAAAAAGGAAAAAGCUACCGCGGGGAUAACAGCGCAAAGCUGCCAGAUAGGUCUUAUUGAAGGUAGCAACUGCGACCUCGAUGUUGGAUUAGGGUGUCUUCCUUGCGAAGAAGUUAGGUGAAGUGGGACUGUUCGUCCU